CUUCGCGGGCCUCCAAACUGCCCGGACCCUUAUGCACCUUCAUACCCAUUAUUUUCUCUUGCAAAUAUAACAAAUGGUAUAAUGUUUUUUUUUUUUUUUUUUUUUUUUUUUUUUACAUCAGUUAAACAAGAACUCAAUAAUAACAGACUUCUGGUUAAGACACACCAUAUUGCCUAUUUUUGCUCUAUUUCACCAAUAAAUAUAGCUCAUUCCAAACAGAGGCACGGUGCUGUUUUGUGUCUCUGAGCAUCAUGAAUGUGUUUGAUUCCUGAAUUAAUCAACCGUUUAAAUGAUCAAUAACUCACUUAUUACAGUUUUUCUGAAUGCUUAAGCGCUAAUCGUGAUUCUUGUAGCACAAUUUCUAAAACUAUUAAUAUGUAUAGCAAAACCACUCACUGAGUUUGCAAAACUUAAAGCACAAACACUGCUUUGCACUCAGUUUGCAAUUUUGUAACACACUUGGCAAAACUGUAGGCACAAUCCACUGCACAACACUCUUUUUGCAGAACUUUAAACACAACUCACUGCUUACACUCAAUUACCAACACACUCCUAGAAAAAUUAUACACAUGUAUGGCUAUCAUUAACACUAUUUUGCCCACUGUCUGGCACACUUUCACAUGUGAAAACUGUUUUAGAUCAUUAGUUCACUUUGCAGUCAGCCUAAGCACUAUAAAUAAGCCACAGGUAAGCUGUCUGUGUGGAGUACAAUGGAUGGAGCAGUAAGAGUGAGAAGAGUGAGAAUCAGAGGAGGCCGAGGGAGAGGACGUGGAGGUGAAGAAGCGAGAGGGUUACAGGAAGUUAGAGGAAGAGGACAAGGAGGAGCAAGAAGAGGACGAGGAGGGGACAGAGGAAGGGUAAGAAGAGUAAGAAAUAGAAUAACUGAUGACAUUAGAGCUACAAUAGUGGACCAUGUCAUCAACCAUGGGAUGACUCUGAGGGAAGCUGGCCAACGGGUUCAGCCUAAUUUGAGCCGCUACACUGUGGCAAGCAUCAUUAGGACAUUUCGAAAUCAGAAUCGGUAAGUACUUUGUAGCACUGACAUACUCAAAUGAGAAACACAACAGCACCAUACAUGCAAAAAUACUGAAAUUGUUACUUUACAGAAUUGCUAGACGUCCAGAUGUUGGGGGCAGAAGAAGAAUGUUCACUCCAGAGCAAGAGACCCAUAUAGUGAACAUGAAUAAGAAUGAAGCAAAUUUACAGAGUUCCUUUCGAGAGAAACACAGAACGUGUAAAGCAACUGCGAUAUGACUAUGUGCAGAUAGUGAUGGAACUAGAAGCAGAUGCCAUGGGACAUGAGCUACUUUUUGUAGAUGAGGCCGGUUUUAACCUCAGUAAAACCAGGAGACGUGGCAGGAACAUUACUGGACACCGUGCCAUCAUCAAUGUCCCAGAACAACGUGGUGGUAACAUAACCACGUGUGCAGCUAUAAGCCAAAAUGCUGUUGUUCACCAUCAUGCAACCAUAGGCCCAUAGAACACUGCACACAUUAUUGCAUUCCUGGACACCUUACAUGACUUGCUCACUGUUCAGAGACCAGAACAUACACGAUAUGUCAUCAUAUAGGACAAUGUUAGUUUCCAUAGGGCUGCUUUGGUCCGCAACUGGUUUACAGACCACCCAUCCUUCAUGGCACUCACUCAAGCUCCCUCCAUACUCUCUUAAAUCCCAUCGAGGAGUUCUUCUCUGCCUGGCGCUGGAAAGUGUACGACCGUCAUCCUCAUCAACAGGUAGCCCUUUUACAGGCAAUGGAGGAGGCAUGUGGAGAUAUUGACCAGACAUCAUGUCAGGCCUGGAUACGGCAUUCAAGGAGAUAUUUUCCCCGGUGUCUUGGACUGGAGGAUAUCGCAUGUGAUGUGGACCAAAUUUUGUGGCCGGACCCAGAAAGACGACAUGAUGUAGACUGAUCGUCUUUUUUUGGUGAAAUUUUGUGUUCUGACUUUGUCUUGGUUUUGAUGAGUGUGAAUAAACACCAAUACUUGAAGUUUGGAUCCUUGUAUAUGUUUACAUGACACUAUGACAAAAGUAUGACCUCAAAUUGACAUCUGUACACAGAGAAAGCAAAAGCCAGAUGUGUUUUGUAUUCGUACCAUCAG